rnacentral:rRNA from 1 species
UCGAGAAUCUUUCACAAUGGGGGCAACCCUGAUGGAGCGACGCCGCGUGGAGGAUAAGGUCUUCGGAUUGUAAACUCCUGUCAUGCGAGAACAAUGCUGGCCGGGUAACUCCUGCCAGCUUGAUAGUAUCGCAAGAGGAAGAGACGGCUAACUCUGUGCCAGCAGCCGCGGUAAUACAGAGGUCUCAAGCGUUGUUCGGAAUCACUGGGCGUAAAGGGUGCGUAGGCUGCGAGGAAAGUCAGAUGUGAAAUCCGGAGGCUCAACCUUCGAAUAGCAUCCGAUACUACCUUGCUAGAGAGCUGUAGGGGGGUUUGGAAUUCUCGGUGUAGCAGUGAAAUGCGUAGAUAUCGAGAAGAACGCUCGUGGCGAAGGCGAAACCCUGGGCAGUAUCUGACGCUGAGGCACGAAGGCUAGGGGAGCAAACGG